AGACCAACUAAGUUUGUUCUUGGUAUGAGCUUUCAUGGGCAUGCACACAAAAAGCUCAUACUAAGAACAAACUUAGUUGGUCU